GAUGAACGCUGGCGGCGUGCCUAAUACAUGCAAGUCGAGCGAACAGAUGAGGAGCUUGCUCCUCUGACGUUAGCGGCGGACGGGUGAGUAACACGUGGAUAACCUACCUAUAAGACUGGGAUAACUUCGGGAAACCGGAGCUAAUACCGGAUAAUAUAUUGAACCGCAUGGUUCAAUAGUGAAAGACGGUUUUGCUGUCACUUAUAGAUGGAUCCGCGCCGCAUUAGCUAGUUGGUAAGGUAACGGCUUACCAAGGCAACGAUGCGUAGCCGACCUGAGAGGGUGAUCGGCCACACUGGAACUGAGACACGGUCCAGACUCCUACGGGAGGCAGCAGUAGGGAAUCUUCCGCAAUGGGCGAAAGCCUGACGGAGCAACGCCGCGUGAGUGAUGAAGAUCUUCGGACCGUAAAACUCUGUUAUUAGGGAAGAACAAAUGUGUAAGUAACUAUGCACGUCUUGACGGUACCUAAUCAGAAAGCCACGGCUAACUACGUG
rnacentral:rRNA from 1 species